rnacentral:rRNA from 1 species
UACGUAGGGUGCGAGCGUUAAUCGGAAUUACUGGGCGUAAAGCGUGCGCAGGCGGUUUUGUAAGCCAGAUGUGAAAUCCCCGGGCUUAACCUGGGAGUGGCAUUUGGGACUGCAAGGCUCGAGUGCGGCAGAGGAGACUGGAAUUCCUGGUGUAGCAGUGAAAUGCGUAGAUAUCAGGAGGAACACCGAUGGCGAAGGCAGGUCUCUGGGCUGACACUGACGCUCAUGCACGAAAGCGUGGGGAGCAAACAGG